rnacentral:tRNA from 1 species
GCCCCCAUAGCUCAACGGAUAGAGCAGUCCCGUCCUAAGGGAAAGAUGGAAGUUCGAUUCCUCCUGGGGGCA